UACAGAGGUGGCAAGCGUUGUUCGGAAUUACUGGGCGUAAAGGGCGCGUAGGCGGUCCGAUAAGUCCCGUGUGAAAUCCCUCGGCUCAACUGAGGAAUGGCACGGGAAACUGACGGGCUUGAGUUCGGGAGAGGGAAGCGGAAUUCCGGGUGUAGCGGUGAAAUGCGUAGAUAUCCGGAGGAACACCGGUGGCGAAGGCGGCUUCCUGGACCGACACUGACGCUGAGGCGCGAAAGCGUGGGGAGCAAACGGG
rnacentral:rRNA from 1 species